UGGGGAAUAUUGCGCAAUGGGGGAAACCCUGACGCAGCAACGCCGCGUGAGUGACGAAGGCCUUCGGGUCGUAAAGCUCUGUCGGAGGGGAAGAAACUACCAAUGGCUAACAUCCAUAGGUAUUGACGGUACCCUCAAAGGAAGCACCGGCUAACUCCGUGCCAGCAGCCGCGGUAAUACGGAGGGUGCAAGCGUUGUUCGGAAUUACUGGGCGUAAAGCGCGUGUAGGCGGCUAAUUAUGUCAGGUGUGAAAGCCCUCGGCCUAACCGAGGAAGUGCGCCUGAAACUGAUUAGCUUGAGUACGAGAGAGGAGGACGGAAUUCCCAGUGUAGAGGUGAAAUUCGUAGAUAUUGGGAGGAAUACCG
rnacentral:rRNA from 1 species